rnacentral:lncRNA from 12 species
ACGAGGACAGCAGGGCAGGAGAACCAGGGCAAAGGACGCAUGCAGACUUCAGCACAUGAUGAGCUGGGCCCCUGCCCCGGCGCUGCUUCAGCUGAGCGUGAGUCCUGCUUCCCGAAGCGCCGGGAGGACUUGCACCAGGUCAUCCUCAAGGUCAUCAUUACAAGAGGCGAAGACGGUCACACCCAAUCGUGGCUGGUCUCUGAGAUACACUGAUUUCUGAAAGAAGUGAUAUACGAUAUUGCGAUGAUGGAUGAAAUCAUACAGGCAGGAUCCCUCAGGAAGCCU